AUGAACGCUAGCGGCAGGCUUAACACAUGCAAGUCGAGGGGCAGCACGGGUAGCAAUACCUGGUGGCGACCGGCGCAAGGGUGCGUAACGCGCGAGCAACAUGCCCUAUACAGGGGGAUAAUCCAGGGAAACUUGGUCUAAUAUCCCAUAGCAUUUAGAGGAGGCAUCUUCACUAAAUUAAAGCUUCGGUGGUAUAGGAUUGGCUCGCGUGACAUUAGCUAGAUGGUGAGGUAACGGCCCACCAUGGCUAUGAUGUCUAGGGGUUCUGAGAGGAAGACCCCCCACACUGGGACUGAGACACGGCCCAGACUCCUACGGGAGGCAGCAGUGAGGAAUAUUGGACAAUGGAUGGAAAUCUGAUCCAGCCAUGCCGCGUGCAGGAAGACGGCCCUAUGGGUUGUAAACUGCUUUUAUAUGGGAGCAAUAAGGUUUACGAGUAGACCGAUGAGAGUACCAUAUGAAUAAGCAUCGGCUAACUCCGUG
rnacentral:rRNA from 1 species